UUGUGCUAAUGUUAAUGGUAGAAUAAUGUUUAGGACAUUUUAUAUUUGGAAUCCAUUUUACUAUAUUGUCUUCAUUUCAACAAGAGGCUACGGCUUCUUAUCUUCCUCAUUUUGAAUAAUUUUUUAUAAGCUAGUAGUCUUGUCUAUUCUACUUCAAAAGAAGUUCUAAAUUGGUGACACAUGAGGUGAAUUUAUUCUGUUUUCUAUUCAAAAUAACAUUUUUUUAUUAAGGCUUUUCUAGAAGUUUGCAUUCAACGAAAUUACUUCAACAAUCCGGAAUAUCAAAAAAUUAAAUUGUUAUAAUUAGAUUCUUGUUUUAUAAAUUGAUUGCAUCAUUUUGGAGAUGCCACAACAAAACCACAUUGGAGACAUUUUGAAUGGUAAGUGAAGAUGUUACAACAAAACCACAUUUAGUAAAUCCAUGAAUAUUUUACACGUGUAUCCCACAUGAAAAACAAGAAUUUAUGUAAUAGUACUUGUUGAAGAAAAUAGGAGGAGCCCUUACCAAUGUAUAAUAGUUUCUUGCUUAUACAAAUAUGUGAUAAAUUUGAAUUAGUUAUUUUUUAUAUAAACUAGUUUAAGACAUGUAUAUAGACUUAUCACUCUAUAACCCUAAAUAGUUGAAGAGUUAUCAUUCCACAUAGUUCUUGAAUACACAGAUAAAGGUUCUAUCUUGUUUUGCCA
rnacentral:lncRNA from 1 species